UUAAUGUUGCGAAGCCCGGCUC
rnacentral:tRNA from 1 species